GUCCGAUUCACCUGAAAAUUUCAGGGCAGAUAGAAUUAUGGAUCUUUACCUAACAAACAAUUUUACCCCUGACAGAUUUGCUCUAAAUGCUUUGGUUUCAGAGUUAUAAGCCAAAAUCUACAUUUUAUCCCUAUGUUCUAUUUCUAGCAAGGGUGGCCAUCUUGUUUGGUUGGCCGGGUCACGCCACACAUUUUUUAAACUAGAU
rnacentral:lncRNA from 1 species